AGACAUGUGGGUCCCUCUCCUCCUCCCUGGGACCAACAUGAUCGCGGCGGUCUCUCUCCUCCUCCCUGAGACCGCCGCACGUAAUUCGGGGGCCCUCUCCUCCUCCCUGGGGUCCCGCUACUU
rnacentral:sRNA from 1 species